GUAAAACAUAGAAACACGUGUAUACACUUUCCCCAUGGGAGCCUGGUGCCCAAUGGUUACAAAAGGUGCUCCUUGGUAGGGUGUGCAGCCUGUUACCUAUGUGGGCUGCCCUAAGGGACCUUGGAGACAAUU
ensembl:snoRNA SNORA70 Small nucleolar RNA SNORA70